AUGGCCUCCUCCAACCUGCUGCCGCCGGUGCAGGAUGGCGCGUGGGGUGCUGGGCCAAGCCGGUCGGCUGCCGCGCUCCCCCCUUCUCCGCGUCGCAGCGCCAGGAUUCUGAGGCUGAGCGAUGGGGAGCGGGUUGGACCCGUCGAGCGGGCGUCCAAGAGGAAGGCCAGGGCUGCGGGCUCCUCUUCCAGCUCUGGUUCUGCUUCGGGGCGGUGUUCUACUCCUGGCGGCCGUCGCAAGAAGUCCAAGGUUCCGGCGGUUGCUGACCUCCUGGAGCUCCCCCUCUCCGCCACCCUGAGGCCUCUGACUAGGGGCAAGCUCAAGCAGCUGGCUAAAUGCUGCGAUCUCAACGCUGAUGCCAUCCUCUCCCAUGCCCUAGCUCAGGAUGAUGCUGUCGCUGCCAUUGGGGCUGCGAGGUCAUUCCCGAUCGACAUCUCUUCUGCUUCCUCUGUGGGCGACGGCUAUGUUCAAGAUGUGUAG
rnacentral:rRNA from 1 species